rnacentral:rRNA from 1 species
CCUACGGGAGGCAGCAGUGGGGGAUAUUGCACAAUGGGGGGAACCCUGAUGCAGCGACGCCGCGUGGGUGAAGAAGCGCCUCGGCGCGUAAAGCCCUGUCAGCCGGGAAGAACAUGACGGUACCUGAAGAAGCAGCCCCGGCUAACUACGUGCCAGCAGCCGCGGUAAUACGUAGGGGGCAAGCGUUAUCCGGAUUGACUGGGUGUAAAGGGGGCGCAGACGGCGAUGCAAGCCAGGAGUGAAAGCCCGGGGGCCAACCCCGGGACUGCUCUUGGAACUGCGUGGCUGGAGUGCAGGAGAGGCAGGCGGAAUUCCUGGUGUAGCGGUGAAAUGCGUAGAUAUCAGGAGGAACAGCGGUGGCGAAGGCAGCCUGCUGGACUGCAACUGACGUUGAGGCCCGAAAGCGUGGGGAGCAAACAGGAUUAGAUACCCCUGUAGUC